rnacentral:lncRNA from 1 species
GAGAGUAUAACCAUUCGUAGGGAAUGUCUAAUGAAGUCUUAGAGGGUGGGUCUAUCAGGCCUUCAAGUUACUUAAAGGGAUGUGGAGAGUAACAAUCCCUUUUGCUAUAGUAACAACACCUCUGUGAUUGUCACAUGGUUCCCAUUGUUUCAUGUGAGAAAAACAGUCUUUAUCAGAAGCAUAUUUAAUACACUCCAAAGUAUUUGUAGUGACCUUAAACAUUUGUAAUUACCAGUAUAUUUACAAGCAAUUCCCUGCAGAUGCACGAUAAUGAUGCUGUGAUUCCUCAGCGCCUGUGCCACUCAUAGAUCUUCCAUUAUCCAGAGCUAUAGGUCUCUGUAAUACCCAGGGUCUCAAUGGGCAGCAGCUUCGUCUUGGUUUGGGGCUCCCCUUAUUCUGCCCAUUUUUCUGCCCUUGGGUAUUAUUUCCCAUAGGUCAUCAGUAUGAAGGGUUGAUUAGUAAUGCUAGAUCUGUUUACUUCAAAAAACAUCUCUGUUUCUUCCUCCAGCUGUUGAAGCCUGAAUCAGGAUAAACUUGAAACUCUGGGUCAAUCUAGAACCCCACAUCAAUUGUCUCCAAAGGAAGAAGGCCAAGGAAAGAGAGUCUCCAUCUCCUGUCAAGCCACCGCUCAUGUACACGGAGAAAUGCUUUGAAGCUGGAUAAAACUUGGAAACAGAUUUGAACCCCUAUACCUCACAUGUCUGCCUCUGCCCAGGCAUCCCAGCCUGGUUGUGCAGCAAGGGAAGUGGAAUCAACUACAUCGACAUGAGAAGACUAGAACCUGGGGAGUCCAGGGAGCAUUACUCAUGCAUCACUAAGGGUGGGCAGACUGCUGUGGUAUAGCCUGUACACAACCCCCUGCUCCUUUCCAGGGGCCUGAAUUUCAAGGGCAGUUACUGGUAAACUGCUUGCUAAGAUUUAGGUUCAGAGAGAAGCAGUUCUGGAUUGCAAUACACAAUUUCGUGUGUGUGUGUGUGUGUGUGGGGGGGGUGAAUAUAGUUGUCACUCUUGCUACCCUUUCCCUUUUCCCUUUGCUGUACUUCUGCUGACCCCCCAUGGCCAUAUCUUUUCCUCACUGCUCUAUCUGAAGCUGGAGAAGGCAGCCCUGCCUGUACACAUGGCCUAUCACAGCACCUGGAAUGAGCAUCCUCUCGGAAAGCCCUCAAUCAGUGAGGACAGGGAGGUGUAUACAUACCCCAUCUCCCUCCCUUCUUAGGUGGAAAAAUACUGAGACAUUUUCCCAUGUUUCCACGUGGGCUUGAUCUCCAUUCAUCCUCUGUGGUAGCUUCUCGCUGAGGACAUUUUCGGUAUCGCUGCUCUCUUUCCUCUCUCACUGCCUUGUUUCCUCCUAGUGUUUACUGUGCAUUAUAAAUAUGCUGCCUGCAUGGGCAUCAUUGUCCCUGAAAGAUCCAACCUAAAACAGUGGACAAACCCUCAUUCUUGGAAAGUAUAGUCUGAAUACUUGCCAAUUCUUUUUUUUUCAUGCAUAGGGAUAUUCAGAAAAUUUAGGAAACAGCUGAAUUAUCUAGGAAAGACAGCGUCAUCAGAAGGGUCUUUAUAAUAGGGAGGAGUGGGGGUAACAGUCAGAGAGGAAUAGGGACAAUGGACAGGGAUGCUUCAGUGAUGGAGAAAGGGGCCAGGCAGCCCGGAACAUGGGGCUAUCUUUGAAGAUGAAAAGCUGAGAAUCAGAUUCUCUCCCCUGGAACUUCCAGAAGGAAUAUAGAACUACGG